CUUUGAUAAAGGCAACUUUAUCGAAAGAUAAAGGCGCAAAACUACGGGCCUAAAGCGACAUAACGCAAUGGUUGCCGGGUUGCCGAA
rnacentral:ncRNA from 1 species